AACGAACGCUGGCGGCAGGCUUAACACAUGCAAGUCGAGCGCCCCGCAAGGGGAGCGGCAGACGGGUGAGUAACGCGUGGGAAUCUACCCAUCUCUACGGAAUAACGCAUGGAAACGUGUGCUAAUACCGUAUACGUCCUUCGGGAGAAAGAUUUAUAGGAGAUGGAUGAGCGCGCGUUUGAUUAGCUAGUUGGUGGGGUAAAGGCCUGCCAAGGCGACGAUCCAUAGCUGGUCUGAGAGGAUGAUCAGCCACACUGGGACUGAGACACGGCCCAGACUCCUACGGGAGGCAGCAGUGGGGAAUAUUGGACAAUGGGCGCAAGCCUGAUCCAGCCAUGCCGCGUGAGUGAUGAAGGCCCUAGGGUUGUAAAGCUCUUUCACCGGUGAAGAUAAUGACGGUAACCGGAGAAGAAGCCCCGGCUAACUUCGUGCCAGCCGCCGCGGUAAGAC
rnacentral:rRNA from 1 species